AACCUGGUUGAUCCUGCCAGUAGUCAUAUGCUUGUCUCAAAGACUAAGCCAUGCAUGUCUAAGUUUAAGCGAUUUAAACUGUGAGACUGCGGACGGCUCAUUAUAUCAGGUUAUAGUUUAUUUGAUGGUCGAUUACUACAAGGAUAACCGUAGGAAUUCUAGAGCUAAUACUUGCACUUCAAGGUGAUUUUUCAUCUGCACUUAUUAGAUUUACCACCAAUGCUCUUCGGAGCCUCGGUGAUUCAUAGUAAUUUAGCGGAUCCGUUAGCUUCGGCUGCGACGCUUCAUUCAAAUUUCUGCCCUAUCAGCUUUCGAUGGUAGUGUAUUGGACUACCAUGGCUUUGACGGGUAACGGAGAAUUAGGGUUCGAUUCCGGAGAGGGAGCCUGAGAAACGGCUACCACAUCUAAGGAAGGCAGCAGGCGCGCAAAUUACCCAAUCCCAACUCGGGGAGGUAGUGACAAGAAAUAACAACAACUAACCUAUUUCAGGUGAGUUGAUUGGAAUGAGUACAAUCUAAACACCUUAACGACUAUCCAUUGGAGGGCAAGCCUGGUGCCAGCAGCCGCGGUAAUUCCAGCUCCAAUAGCGUAUACUAAUGUUGUUGCAGUUAAAAAGCUCGUAGUCGGAUUUCAGUAGGCUCAGUUAAGUCUCAAUUAUGAGUUCUUUAUGGGCCUGCUUCUUUGACAGAAACUUCUAUGUUAUUCAUUUAGCGUGGGUAGCGACUGUCUCUUUUACUUUGAGAAAAUUAGAGUGUUCAAAGCAGGUAUUCGCCUGAAUAUUACUCUUGGAAUAAUGCUAUAAGACUUUGGUUCUAAUGUAUUGGUGAUUGGGACCAGAGUAAUGAUUGAUAGGGACGGUGGGGUCUUACGUGCUGCAAGCGAGAGGGAAAUUCUUGGACCUUUGUAUGACGAACAACUGCGAAAGCAUUGGACUAGGACGUUCCCGUUGAUCAAGAACGAAAGUUGGGGGAUCGAAGACGAUCAGAUACCCGUCGUAGUCUCAACCAUAAAACUAUGCCAGCUAGGGAUCGGAGGAAGUUACAUGUUCGACUCCUUCGGCACCUUAUGAGAAAUCAAAGCAUUUGGGUUCCGGGGGGAGUAUGGUCGCAAGGCUGAAACUUAAAGGAAUUGACGGGAGGGCACCACCCAGGAGUGGAGCCUGUGGCUUAAUUUGACUCAACACGGGAAAACUUACCCAGGUCCGGACAUAGUAAGGAUUGACAGAUUGAAAGCUCUUUCUUGAUUCUAUGGGUGGUGGUGCAUGGCCGUUCUUAGUUGGUGGAGUGAUUUGUCUGGUUAAUUCCGUUAACCGAAACGAGACCUCAGCCUGCUAAAUAGUGUCUAUUUUCUUUCGAAGGUUAACACUUCUUAGAGGGACUACUUGUGAAACAACCAAGCGGAAGCUUGAGGCAAUAACAGGUCUGUGAUGCCCUUAGAUGUUCUGGGCCGCACAUGGGCUACACUGGUGCAUUCAACAAGCAUAAUCACCUUAACCGAAGGGUUUGGGUAAUCUUUGAAAUUGCACCGUGCUUGGGAUAGACUAUUGCAAUUUUUAGUCUUCAACGAGGAAUUCCUAGUAAACGCGAGUCAUCAGCUUGCAUUGAUUACGUCCCUGCCCUUUGUACACACCGCCCGUCGCUCCUACCGAUUGGAUGAUUCGGUAAGCUUUUGGGAUUGAUUGACUAACUGUCACUGACAUUAGUUGGUUGACAACUUAAUCAAACCUAAUCAUCUAGAGGAAGGAGAAGUCGUACCAAGGGUUUCCGUAGGGUGAACCUGCAGAAGGAUCA
rnacentral:rRNA from 1 species